rfam:Hordeum vulgare subsp. vulgare, WGS project CAJW01000000 data, contig: morex_contig_1585536
CAAAUACUCCCUCCGUCCGAAAAUACUUGUCCUAAAAAUAGAUAUAAUGAAUAUACCUAUAAAUAAAAUAAGUCUAGAUACAUUCAUCUCUAGGACUAGUAUUUUCGGACAGAGGGAGUACAUU